GCCGAUGAUGAAGAUUCAGAAGACCCCGAUGCAGGAACUCUACGGCGAAUCGAAGGCUGAUCGGACGGUUUGGAUGAAGAAGUAUCAGACGACCUAUUCCCAGAUUCGCCAGUAUCACCACCUAAAUCUUCACUGGAAACAUUCUGAAUUUCCGAUAAUAGAUCGUCAACGGAGAGCGUCGGAUCAAGACGACGAGCUUUAUUCACAAAUUUUAGGGCACGGGUCCGAUUCCCAGCUUCCAAAGAUUCUUUCCCGAUUUUCAAACAUUUCAAAGCGUCGUCUUUGUUCCCGUCCAUCAGAAAUAACGCAA
rnacentral:misc_RNA from 1 species